rnacentral:rRNA from 1 species
GUGAGGAAUAUUGCGCAAUGGAGGCAACUCUGACGCAGCCAUGCCGCGUGCAGGAAGAAGGCGCUACGCGUUGUAAACUGCUUUUAACCGGGAAGAAACCCCAGGACGUGUCCUGGGUUGACGGUACCGGAGGAAUAAGCACCGGCUAACUUCGUGCCAGCAGCCGCGGUAAUACGAAGGGUGCAAGCGUUAUCCGGAUUCAUUGGGUUUAAAGGGUGCGUAGGCGGAGCGUUAAGUCAGUGGUGAAAUCCUGCAGCUUAACUGUAGACUUGCCAUUGAUACUGGCGCUCUUGAGUGCGCUUGAAGUGGGCGGAAUGUGCCGUGUAGCGGUGAAAUGCUUAGAUAUGGCACAGAACACCAAUUGCGAAGGCAGCUCACUAAGGCGAUACUGACGCUGAGGCACGAAAGCGUGGGGAUCGAACAGGAUUAGAUACCAUUGUAGUCC